rnacentral:rRNA from 1 species
AGUGAACGCUGGCGGUAGGCCUAACACAUGCAAGUCGAACGGCAGCACAGUAAGAGCUUGCUCUUACGGGUGGCGAGUGGCGGACGUGUGAGGAAUACAUCGGAAUCUACUUUUUCGUGGGGGAUCACGUAGGGAAACUUACGCUAAUACCGCAUACGACCUACGGGUGAAAGCAGGGGAUCUUCGCACCUUGCGCGAUUGAAUGCGCCGAUGUCGGAUUAGCUAGUUGGCGGGGUAAAGGCCCACCAAGGCGACGAUCCGUAGCUGGUCUGAGAGGAUGAUCAGCCACACUGGAGCUGAGACACGGUCCAGGCUCCUACGGGAGGCAGCAGUGGGGAAUAUUGGACAAUGGGCGCAAGCCUGAUCCAGCCAUACCGCGUGGGUGAAGAAGGCCUUCGGGUUGUAAAGCCCUUUUGUUGGGAAAGAAAAGCAGCAGGUUAAUACCCCGCUGUUCUGACGGUACCCAAAGAAUAAGCACCGGCUAACUUCGUG